rnacentral:rRNA from 1 species
GACGACGCUGGCGGUAUGCUUAACACAUGCAAGUCGAGCGAGAAUCGUUUAUUGAAGGCUUCGGCUGGAAAUAGAUGAGGAAAGCGGCGAACGGGUGAGUAACGCGUGGGCAACCUGGCCUUAAAGAAAGGAUAGCCCCCGGAAACGGGGAGUAAUACUUUAUGAGAAUGAGAGAGGGCAUCCUACUUUCAUUCAAAGCGCAAGCGCUUAAGGAUGGGCCCGCGUAUCAUUAGCUAGUUGGUGAGAUAACAGCCCACCAAGGCAACGAUGAUUAGCCGGUCUGAGAGGGCGAACGGCCACAUUGGAACUGAGAGACGGUCCAAACUCCUACGGGAGGCAGCAGUGGGGAAUAUUGCGCAAUGGAGAAGAACUCUGACGCAGCAAUACCGCGUGAGCGAAGAAGGUCUUCGGAUCGUAAAGCUCUGUUAUCAGGGAAGAAGAAAAUGACGGUACCUGAUGAGCAAGUCCCGGCUAACUACGUG